CACGGGGCAGUGCUGUCCAGUAGAACUUUCCAUGGGGACGGAGAUGUUCUGUAGCUGCCUAUCCCAUGUAAGUAGCCCUAGAGACCUCCUUGCAUGUGGCCAGGGUGACAGAGGAACUGAAUGUGUAAUCAAGUUAAUUUAUAAGUAAUUACAAUUAAAAUCUCGAUAGCUCCCUGUGGCCCUGGCUCCCGUGUUAGGCGGGCAGGGCCCUGGGCCAUGGAGCCUCCAGAUUGUAGCACAGGCUCUGUUUCACGGCUUGCAGGUGAGCGAAGAGGGGAUUGUCCAGACCCCGCAGCUACCAAGCCAGGUUGCAACGCCCUGCUCCUGGCCUGAAACCCAGGCUUCCGGCCAGUUCCAGGCUCUUCCCUGCUGGGCCUGCAGAGAACAGGCUGCCCACUCCCGAGAAAAGAUGCUGUAAAAGAAAAAUCUCACUAACCCUCCAGGGAAAUUUGAGAGGCUGUGAUUUGCUCUACUCUGAGCUCAUCGAAAUCUGUGCAGCAGCUGGAUUUUGCUGCCUU
rnacentral:lncRNA from 1 species